rnacentral:snRNA from 1 species
AUCGCUUCUCAGCCUUUUGGCUAAGAUCAAGUGUAGUAUCUGUUCCUAUCAGUUUAAUAUGUACUUAGAGAACUUUAUGGGAGUAGUUUGCUUCAGAGUAAAAACAGAGACUAUUUACUCAAA